rnacentral:lncRNA from 1 species
CACAAAACUUCUGUCACGACUUUGUCGCCUUUUUUCUCUCCCACUUUUUUUACUCUGUCUUGUGGCCAUUUGUUUGGAUCAUUACAUGUGAGCUUUCCUUGGCGGAUGUGUCAUUCUGCUGCAGCUGGAGGUCGCAUGCAAGCUGCAAACAUUUUCACACAAUCCGAGACAUUUUCCGAUGUAAUCUUUUAAGAAGCGAAAGCAAUUGGAAGCACAGUGUUGGAGAACCUGAAGAUGACUCACAAAACUUGCGGACAAGGAGAAGAGAUGAGCUUUGCAGAAAACAUGCUUUUCACUCUGACACAACAGGAGUCAAUCUAAAGGCCUCGCUCAAACUUUAAGAGUACUGAUGGAAACUGAGGAACACGGCUCUCCUCAAAUACCUCUUCGAGAAACAAUCAGGACGGAGACGUUCGCUCUUCUCCAGUACUUUAAGAGAUGGUGUGGUGUGUUGGAGCUGACAGCUAGAGAUGGAGGUGUAGCGGCUGUCAGACCUGCAGCAACGACGAUUGAUAAACAGCAGCUGACGCUUCAACAAAUGUGUGUGUGUGUGUGUGUGUGUGUGUGCGUGUGUGUGUGUGUGUGUGUGUGUGUGAUGUCCUAGGACCAAACCUGCGCACACAUAUAGAUUUUUUAAGAGAUUUCAGGAGGGUUUGCAUACGUGUUGCUUUGGAUUAUCCCUGCAGCCGAGAGUUCGACUGAGACCUGUGAAUGAAAUAUGAAACAGUGAAAACUAAAGACAAACAGAAAGAGAAAACAGCUUUAGUGAGAAGAACAGGAGUGAGGAUUUAAAAGAACCAUGAGUUUAAAGUAGGGCUGUCAAUGUAAACGUGUUAACGCAUACAAUCCCUGCAGACACACAAUGUCUUAAGACGUUAUUAUUAGGUUAGAUUUAGGUCAGAAUUUCGGUUGACUAAAAUUCAAUGUCUAGCCAGCAUCUAAGGACAAUGUUAUUUUGAUGUCCAAUAAUAAAUGGAGUUAAUGAAUUAACAAAAGUUCAGUAUUGAGGCCACACCUAAACCAAUCAGCUUUCCUCGUCUGCUAUUUAGAAGUGGAGCGUCCGUAAACCGUUUGUCUCAGAUUCUUGCUCCCUCCCACCCAUUUCCCUCUAAACUCUUCCCUUUAUCGCCUAGCUAUACCUCUUAACAUCCCUCUCCUCUUCCACAGGCUUCGAAUGGGGUUCUUCUAAAUGCUCCACGUUCACCAAUGAGACUAAGCCCCUACUACUAUGAGUCUCCCUGGACAAGACUCGCUGAUCAGUCGGUUGAAUAAUCAUUUUAUACUUCUCUUCUGAAACUUCAUAACUAUGACCUACUUCUCUCUAACAACUUGUUAUAAAGUUUCACAAGCACCGGUUGUGGCCUGGGGCCCAAAAACUUUGCGUACGCCAGAUUUCACGCUUAUGUUUGGAUUUACUUACGAUGAAAUGAACGGGGGAAUGUGCGUUGGUCCCUGCCAACUUCAUGCCUAGCGUACGUGCAUUUCUAGAGUGUGUUUGUUUUAUUUCCAUUGGCGACUCCUAGAGGCAAUUAUGGCAAAUUGCACACUGCAAAGUAUCUUUGAGCCGUGCAAUGGCAGCUGCAUGGGAUGGGAUCAUCUGCAUGUCUAGCAGGUAUAUAAGGUUUCCAUACAGUUGACCAACCAAACAUUAAAGCGCAAUUUGCAGCAAUCGCCGGUUUUCCCAAUGUAAUCGGAGCGAUCUACUGCAUGCACAUUGCUAUAAGGGCGCCAUCUGCAGACGCAUAUGUAUGUGUGAAUCAGAAACAUUUCCAUUCAAUAAAUGUUUGAUGCUCAAGUGUGCUUAACAUAACACACACACUUAUUAAUGAUUCCCACUUGUCUUCCUCGUGACAAAGAGUAGGCAAAAUCCGAUAUGGGGUGGGGGAAAAAAAAGAAAAUUAGUUCAUCAGACAC